GAAGUUGGGUCGAUUUCCGCCGAUGAUGCAUCAUCACCAGGCACCCUCAGAUGGCCAGACUCCUGGGGCUCGUUUCCAGAGGUCUCACCUUGCAGAGGCCUUUGCAAAAGCCAAAGGAUCAGGUGGAGGCACUGGAGGAGGAGGUAGUGGAAGAGGCCUGAUGGGGCAGAUUAUUCCAAUCUAUGGUUUUGGGAUUUUUUUAUACAUACUGUAUAUUCUAUUUAAGCUCUCAAAGGGGAAAAGUACUGCAGAGGAUCGGAAAUGCUCUCCUGCCACACCUGGAAACACCCACAGGAAAAUUACCAAUUUUGAGCUUGUUCAACUGCAAGAAAAACUGAAGGAGACAGAGGAAGCCAUGGAAAAAUUAAUCAACAGAGUGGGGCCUAACGGUGAGAGCAGAGCACAGACAGUGACUUCUGACCAAGAAAAACGGUUGCUGCAUCAGCUCCGAGAAAUCACCAGGGUCAUGAAAGAAGGAAAACUCAUUGACAGACCCACUCCAGAGAAAGAAGCUGAGGAGGCCCCUUACAUGGAGGACUGGGAAGGUUACCCUGAAGAGACUUAUCCAAUUUAUGACCUUUCAGAUUGCAUCAAGCAUAGGCAAGAAACCAUCCUAGUGGAUUACCCCAACCCACAAGAGCCCUCUGCUGAAGAAAUAGCUGAAAGAAUGGGGGUGCUGGAAGAGGAAGAAUCCGACCAUUUGGGUUGGGCAAUGCCUACUGACCCCAGAGCUCAGGAAGAGAAUUCUGUUACCUUCUGUGACCCAAAGCCAGAAACAUGCUCCUGCUGUUUUCCUGAAGAAGAGGAUCCCGCUGUCUUGGCAGAGAAUGCUGGAUUCAGUGCAGACAGUUACAGUGAGCAGGAGGAAACCACCAAAGAAGUGUGGCCCCAGGACUUCAGAGAUGGCACCCCUUGGGGCAGAGGUCAGACUCUUCACACUAGGAAUAACAGAUGGUUUACCUGUGAACGAACAUCAGAUUACACAUGAUGAGGACUUAAGAUUACAAGAGUGAAGAUUUCAGAGUCCAAGAUGCCUUAUUCUGUAGGCCUUGAGCAGGUUAGUGGUCCACUGGGUUCAAGAAGAAAACAUUUUGUUUGUGGGGCUGAUGGGGCCAGAGCUGGGCGAGCCUUUGCUGUCUGAGCUGAAGCCCCUUCUUCACGUGAGAGCCUUUUUUAGGAGCAUCGAGGCCUCCUCAGAUCUGUGCUUUUCUCCAGAGUAGUAGAAGACUCCCACUGACCCAAGAAUGAGCCCAGAAGUUUGUUGGGACAGUUUUGCCUGGAUCUCAAGCUUCCUUUAUCCCUGUUCUGCUUAAUGGAACUGCCAAACCCAGAAGCAGUUUAUACCUCUGGUCUUCAGUGGCCAGAGGACGCUUUAUGUAGAGACUUUAGUCCUUGCCCUGCAGAGCCAAGGUUUGAGGCUGCUAAGGCUUCAGGAAAGCCUGCCCAAGGGUGGCAGUCCUGUCAUGAGAUGCUUAGAAGGCCAGGGAGCUGGUGAUGGGAGAGAACUCGUGCCCUUAUGGGCAGUCCUUGCUUAGAAGCUGUUUCUGAAUGUUGUGCCCUCUGGCAAAUUUAUUCUUCUAACAAAUCAAAUUCAAACAGAAACGAGGACUGAGCUUGUAGACCAAGUGUUAGCCCAACAGGGAAGUUGCAGGGACCCAACAGAGCAGUGCCCAGGAAGAGACCAUUUGUUCUCUGUGUGGCUAUCUGGGUCUUUUGAGCUGGGCAGAGUAGGAGGUGGGUUAAGACUGGGAGAAUUUUGACCAAACCAAAAGCCUAAUCUCUGAGCUGCCAUCUGUCAUGUGUCUCCUUGAGGUAAGAUGUAUUCCGUCUAGUAAGGGUAAAGUGAAUUCAGUUUACAGGAAAGACGUGAGAGUUGAAAGAGGACACCUUCCCGAGGACAUUCCCAGUCAUGAAACGUGGAAGACUUGAAAAUUAAGAAAUCAUUUGAAGGUAGACUUGGUGGACACUGGGCUUUUAGAGUUCCAUUGUGCCUGGCAUGAGUUAAGAGGCCGGGAAAAUAGCUGAAAUCACACAUUUAAGUGUGGUCACUGCUGUCACAAGGUACAGGAUCGUAUUAAGAUGAUGCGUCAGCCACUGCUAGGCAUUUGUUAGUUAACAACUACAGAAAAGUCAUUUAAGACUGAGUCUACAGAAAGUAUACUGCAUCUGUCUCUGUGUGGAACCUUGGAUUCACUUGUCAAGAAUGCAGUGUAAAAUGUACUAAAACCAGUCUAGAUGUAAUAUAAUGCUGAAGGUAAAAAAUGAUGUAGGUGCUCUUUACUGUUUCGAUAAAUUAUUUUCUGUGCUCUUUCUCUUCAUUCACAGUGAGGAGAGUUCUGGGACCCUGGUUCAAGUUUCUUUUUUGCCUUAGGAUAUGAUUCCCUUAUUAGAGAUGUGUAUUUGUUUCCUUCUAGCUGAUUCAUCCAUUUAUUCAUUUAGCAGACACUGCUCAGAGCAGUGGGAACAAAAGGCUCAAUUCCUACCUUUAAAGAAACUCAGUUUAACAUGGGAGCCUUAUCCAAUUUAUUUUUUUAAAUGGUAUGUGAACUAUAAAAGAGCUCAAGGUCAUGAAUUCUGCAGGCAGAGAAAUGCCAGUCACGAUUCCAUCUCUGUCCUGUCCUCACUAUAGAAUCUUGCCAGAUCCCUAGCCCCACGAGCCUCAGCUUUCUCGUCUCUAAAGCUGGGGAGUCAAAGUGCAGGUCUCACGGGGUGGUUAUGAGUGCCUAUAAAACAGCACUGGCCCUGUCUGCUCGCAGUAACCACUCAGUGGGCAGUAGCUUCCUGGCUUUUAUCGGACAAGGUUUUGUGCUAUAAUUGAGAUACGAACCCCAAUCUAUAGGAGCAAAGAGAAUUUUUGCUAACGUACUCUCAAGAAACUUCACAGAGAAGGUGGGUCUUGAGGGAUGCCAGGAACUUUUCCAGGUGGGCAAGGGAGAGAAAGGACAUUCUUGGCAGAAAGAGUGGUGUUAGAGCAGCCAGUUGUGAAAGUAAAUGGAUGUUCAGGUAUUUUAACGAGGCUGGUGUGUUAAGUGUCACAUAAACAACUCUUUAUUUGGAAUGUUAAUGAGCGGAAGUGGCUUAUGGAAAUAGUUCCUGCCAGAAGUACUAGACCUCAGGAUGGCUCCUGCUGCCCUUGUUCUUGGUUGGUUUAUAUAGCAGGACUAUGUCUAUGUAUUUAUAUUUCAAACAUUUUGAUGUGCUUUUUGGUCAUUUCAGAUUAGGCAGCCCUUUGUUGGAUUUUCCAUUUAUUCUUCAGGGAUGACAGCUAUAUUUGUAUAUACAACCCAGGAAGACCAAAAUCAUGGGACUCAUUUUUGUUGUGAUGCCGGCUGUCUUUCUCCUGGUCUUCAUUUCUCAGAACCGGUCUGGGCUGUGAAUGUGACCAGCCCCCUGACACUAGGUCUGCAGUGACCUUUGGGCACUGUGGCAGAGCACAGUCAUAUCUCUGGAGGCAGACAGUUGGCCUCAGAAACAGCUGCAUCGCUGGGAACCAUGGUGGGUGGUUUGGCCACGAGAUCCCCAUUCCUGGUCGGCAGGAGCACAUGGAGAGCAUUUCCCUCCAGGACUAGUGCAGAGUGAACGCUAGGAGCUGGGCCCAGAGUGGGGCGCUGAGGAGCGGGGCCAGUGCUUGGCCUCUGCAAGAGAUGGCCUCUGAGAGUGAUGGCCGCUGUCUGUACCUUCUACGGGUGAUCCGACAACUUAUGGUCCAACCUGGGACACUGGGAAAAGGGAGCUUUAAUAAAAAUCAUGCCCCAAUAAUAGGUUAAAGCAGGACUCUCCGCAGGACUCUGUCAUGGCUAUAUAAGAGAUCUGUCGUUAGCCUGACCACUAAACCACCACCACCUCCUUUCUUUUUAGUAAUGCCCUGCAUGUGCUAUUUUCCAGAGGCAGAGCCCAGGAGCGAGGCCGUGGUUCAGGUAGGACAUAAAAACUCCAAAUCUGGGGUAGUAAAUAAACCAGCCCUUCUUAUUACCACACUCUUAAAUUCCCUCAACCCAGACUAUAUGCUAAAGGAAAAUCUAACACUUCAGCUACCCAGUGAGAACAACAUGAAGUAUCAGUGAUUUUGCCUUGACGAUUUUCACACAAAUCCUUCUAAAAUGUACUUCAUCUUUGCUAUUUUUCCUUUUCCAUCUUCUUAGAUUUAAGCACUGAUUUCCUCAUUUAUGAACUGGGAAUAAUAUCCCCCUUGCAAGGCCAGUAGGAUUCAGUGAGAUGACAGGAUCACACUGUCAAGUCCUGUGCUGCCUGGAACCCUCCACGGCUACUCUGCUGGGAAUGGCCCAGAGCAGAGUCCUGCAGUCUUGGGGCGGCUUAACUUUGACCGCCUCCCUCAGGAUCAAACCCAUAGCUUUCAUGUCUGCUUCCAGCCACAACUGCAACCUCCCUUGCUCAGGCUUCAUAUCUGCCAUAGGCUGAAAAGAAAAUUGCCAAGCCUGCAGCAGGGUUGUCCUGUUGAAACAGGUUAGGCUGCUCUGCCUAGAGCUUGAGGAGUCGAGUGGCUGGGUUGUCAUGUCGUUCCUACCACUUGGGCCCUCUUUUUGUUCCUAAGGGCCAGGCCCACAGGGGUUUACUUAGGACCCAGCAGCCCAUCCUUCUCGCUGGCUCAGCUGGCCUGCAGAGGAUGCUCUAACUGAAGUACCUUCUGUCCUUACCAUUCUUCCAGCCCUUCCCGACCUCUGCGUGACUUGAAGAGCACGGCCAGAGGGAAGAUGUGUAAUUACUUCUAAACAAGCUAUGAUCCCUUGUUAUCACCACCUUCCUGCCCACCCCUGAGGCUCUUAGGACAGAAGGAAUGAAUGGUGUAGCAAAAAACUUUUAGCAGGUCUCCCCUCCCAAAGUCAGGAAAGGAAGAGCCAAACUGGGACUACGGAAAAGGAGGAAGGACGGCCCUACAGUGUUUCACUGGGAAGUGGACCAGCUCCAGUACAAGUGCUGAUGCCCUCAAGAUGGCCCCAAGUCGAGAGUGUCUAGAAACUAGGCCAUGUGAACAAAACCUGGAUCGCUCACAGAGACGAAUGCCCCCGGCACAGGCAGACCCCUGCUAGAACCGGUACGCCCUGCUCCAAGCGCGCCACACAGGAGACCCAGGAUACCAGGAGGUGAGGGCGCACUAUUCCACUGAAGUCAAAACAACUCCUUCACCUCACUCAGAGCCCCGCUAACAUGUUUAAAGUAUGACUU